CCCAAAAGGUAACGGAGGCGCUCAAAGGUUCUCUCAGUACGGUCGGAAAUCGUACGUAGAGUGUAAAGGCAAAAGAGAGCUUGAUUGCAAGACAUACAGGUCGAGCAAGGAUGAAAAUCGGACUUAGGGAUCCGGUGGUUCUGCGUGGAAGGGCCAUCGCUCAACGGAUAAAAGCUACCCUGGGGAUAACAGGCUUAUCUCCCCCAAGAGUCCACAUCGACGGGGAGGUUUGGCACCUCGAUGUCGGCUCAUCACAUCCUGGGGCUGUAGUAGGUCCCAAGGGUUGGGCUGUUCGCCCAUUAAAGUGGUACGCG
rnacentral:rRNA from 1 species